GCCCGUUGGUGUGCGGCACACUGCGGUCCGUGCCCGGCCCGGGGCCCGCGCCCGCACCGGGGUGGAAGCGGGCCUUGGCGUAGUUGCUCACGAACUGGUCCUGCAGGAAAGAACCGGCCAUAGCGUAGCGGGCCCCGGGCACAAUCUGCGAGCGCGGGGAGUCGUUGGGCGAGGGGGUCAGGCGGUCCAUGUCGCAGCCAGUGUAGAUCCUGCGAGGGAAGGAGAGAGAGAGAGAACCGAGGGGUGGCCGAGAGGUCCCCUCGGGAGGCAGAAGGGAAGGUCACCUCCACUUGUGGCCCACCCCCACACUGUCCAUCUGUAACUUGCCGUCCAGGAUGGAGAGAGACGAAAGGUCACAGACCUGCGUCCUCCCCAAAACAAAAUAAAUCGUGAAAUUGUAGAGGGAUCAAUGUACUUAUACAGGAACCUAAGCAAAAUGCAGACCAAGAGGAAGUCUUCCCUCUCCCUCGCUCUCUCUCACCGACUGCACGGGGGAUCAGAGAGCAAAGCACAGCAGGGGAUACUCAUCCCACUUCUCCAAUGUAUUUAUAAACAUGAGGGCAGAUUCGCCCAGGGACUACGGUGUUACUUGCCCUGUGGGCCUUUCCUGUGUAGUGAGAGUUUCUGCGCAAAAUUUCUAAACAAGAUAUCCAUUUCUUCACUCUUUUAAGAACACUUUCUUCCAUUUGACACACACUCGGGCUGUCCAGGUAGUAAUCAUGGAAGCCUGGCCUUCACCAGUCUUCUGAGACUUGAAGACUUGCUGCUGGAAGCCUCUACUGUACUUGCUGUCCAUUGUUUCCCCCAGGUGAUCCUUUACCCCCCACCUCUACCAAUACUAACAAGAAUUACUACUUAGAGA
rnacentral:lncRNA from 1 species